CACACCGCCGGCCAUCGAGCAACACGGCAACAAUGAGCAACACGGCAACAAAGACAAGGAGAAUGUCGACUCUGCCAGUCAGCUAAGGGAAUGUCAGACAAAUGGUUCUAGCUGAGAUCAAACGAGACGGGCGAUGAGGUAGAUCACACGUUACUAUCGGAGACACUAUAGCAACCACAUCAAUGGUCUCUCCUGGGGGGCUUGUAGUGAUGAUACUGAAACUUGCGACCAACUAUAGCAACCACAUCAAUGGUCUCUCCCUGGGGGGCUUGUAGUGAUGAUACUGAAACUUGCGACCAGUAACUCCAGAAAUGUGUGUUUUUUGCCGAGAACGAGGUAAGUUCGUCUUGCCAAUCGUUCAGUGACGAACGAUGCAGACGAGGCACUCUGCACUAUCGAGGGAGCUCAAGCAGUGAUAACAGACCCCUCUGGGGACUUCACCUUGACGUAGCUCGAAUCUUCAUAACAGUAUUAGAUGAGACAUUAACCGAAUAGCCGCGGUUAUGAUUUCAUACGUAGUACCGCCCACCGCGGAACCAAAAUCUAAUUAAUUUUAAAUUACUUUCAUUAUCAGCUCCUAGCAAAGAAAGAUGCGUAGCUAAGAAGUUUUCUGCAGGAAACUUUGUUGCAAACUAGUCUAGGUAACCAGCCAAGGCCCCAGCGAAGGAUCAUUUCACAACAUUCGCCUCUAGCAAAGAAAGAUGCAUAACUUGGAAACAGUGACAGUUUUCUUUAUUCAACUUCGUAGCAAAGUAGUCUACAGUUUACUGUGUCAGGAUCUCCUGGUUUCCAACGGCAACGGAAAAGUCAACCAGCCAAGGCCAGAGCGAGGGAUCUCUUCAGAGUAUGGCAAAGAAAGAUGCACCCUUAGUAACAGUAACAGUUCUCUUCAAGCUACCUUGUAGCUAGUUACUCUGUCAGGACCUCCAAUCUGAACAGUCAACCAGCCAAGGACAGAGCGAGAUUGUGUGCGUAUGAUUAUAGCGAUGCUGUACAUAGUGUUCUUAGCUGAUAAUGCGCUUACCUACGUAGCUUGUAAAGUGUACGCAGUGUGUUGAAGCCGAGUUUAAAAUACAGAAGCCUAUAUGUACGCUCAGCAGUGUUGCAAUGUAAAGGGGUCAUCCGAGGGGUCCGCAACGGGCCAAAAUUCUGUACGAGAUUCUGGAAUCUUAAAGAUUCCAACGAGAUUCCGAGAUUCCGAUGGAUUCCAUUCGAAGAUUUCAAGAUUCCAUUCAAGAUUCCGAGAUUUCUAGAAGAUUUCAAGAUUCCAUUCAAGAUUCCAAGAUUUCUAGAAGAUUUUAAGAUUCCAGAAAGAUUCCUAUAAGAUUUUUGGCAGUCAUGGGCGUUGGCCACGCCCUGAUCUAGUCGAUCGCCGCCGCCCUCCUUCCAGGCAAUGGUAGAGGGUGCCGGCGCCCCACUAGCCCUGCCAUGCAUGCAAAAAAGCUAGAUGCCAUAGCUAGGCAGGCUAGACUAUAGACAUUUAGUAUGAGCACUUAUUAUUAUAAUAGUAUGUAUUAUAUCUGAAUUGAUGAACAUUA